rnacentral:ncRNA from 1 species
AUUUUAUAUAUCGAGAUAGGUGCCCCCUUAUGGGGCUUAAUAGGGAAGACCGGUGUAAUGCCGGCGCGGUCCCGCCACUGUAAUGAGGAGUAAACCCACAUAAUGCCACUGGGACGAACGUCUUGGGAAGGUUUGGGUGAGCGAUGAUUCAGAGCCAGGAGAACUGCCUAUCUAACAGUCACCGU